GUGGGAAUUUUACAUUGGAAAUCAUGGGCACCAAAGCCCGAGACAAGGACCAGAGGAGAGCUAAGGGCUUAGAGAUUUAUGGAGCUGGGCAAACUUACAGGGAGUAGACUGGCCAUAGAGACAUUGCAAAACUAGAAUAAGAAUCUAAUUUACGGAUGAGUUUAAGCAGCAGAUUAACUGUAGCACGGGUGCGGAACAGGCCCUUCUGGCCCCUCGAGCCGUGCCACUCACCAAUCCCUUGCUGGGAGGCACCCCAAAGCCUAAUCACGGGAAAUUUUAUAAUGACCAACUGGUAUGUCUUUGGAUUGUGGGAGGAAACCAGAGCACCCGGAGGAAACCCACGCAAUCACGGAGAGAAGCCUGACGGUUGGAGCCUGGAGGCCGAGAAGCCCUGAGGCCUGCCCUGGAGUCGGAGGACAGUCUGUGCGUGUGGGCUGAAUUGGACGCACUUCCGUUUUGCUGUCCCACAGUUCUAUACAUAGUCAUACUUUAUUGAUCCCGAGGGAAAUACCCACUAAUGUCCUUACAGGCGAGCCCUUCUCUACAUUCUGUGCCUCUGCAGAAGAGCUGGAGGUCAGACGCUAAAGGGAGACAAACAUGCUGACCUUGAGGGCCAGAGGGGCUUUCCAUCCCACUCUCAGCUGGUAUGCUGAGUUCCUGCAGUUACUGUGGUUUUGCAGCAUCUGCAGAGUCGCGAGCUCUCCUCACCUACCCAGCGCGCGGCUGAGAACACAUGAUGUCAGCAAUGUGGACUUACCGAACCGGAAUAAGAAAUGCCAGACAAG